GUGAAGCUGCUGUGUGAUUUUCUGGAGAGUCCACACUGUAGACUGGAGGCUCUGAGAAAACCUGCCCAGGAUUUCAGUCCUACAUAGUGCAAGAGAAAGCUUCUAUGGGCCAGAGUGGCAAUGACGUCAUUCACCAUGAUUACAAAUUGAGUUCCUGCAGUUUGUCAGAGAUCAGCUGUGCUUCUCUAGCCUCAGCUCUGAAG